UACGGAGGGUGCGAGCGUUAUCCGGAAUUAUUGGGCGUAAAGGGCUCGUAGGCGGUCUGUCGCGUCGGUAGUGAAAACUCAGGGCUUAACCCUGAGCCUGCUUCCGAUACGGGCAGACUAGAGGUAUGCAGGGGAGAAUGGAAUUCCUGGUGUAGCGGUGAAAUGCGCAGAUAUCAGGAGGAACACCAGUGGCGAAGGCGGUUCUCUGGGCACUACCUGACGCUGAGGAGCGAAAGUGUGGGGAGCGAACAGG
rnacentral:rRNA from 1 species